CAAGCCCCUGGGCAUGCACAACUUCCCAGGGAUCCAACCCGGGCCACAGCAAUGAGAACGCAGGAGCCUCAACCCACUGAGCCACACCAGGGGAUUCUGUCUUUUAUCGAAAGAGAUGUAAAACGUUUGUUAUAUGAAAAAAAUUAAUUUGGCAAUCACUAAUCAAUCAUGAACAUUGACCUGUAGCACUGAAUACUUUGCAACGGCAUAUUUUUUUUUUCUUUUUAGGGCCGCACCCGGGGCAUAUGGACGUUCCCAGGCUAGGGAUGGAAUGGGAGCUGCAGCCGCCGGCCCACGUCACAGCUACAGCCACAGCCACGCGGGAUCCCAGCCGCGUCUGGGAACUACACCAGAGCUCACGGCAAUGCCGGAUCCUUAACCCACUGAGCGAAGCCAGGGCUCGAACCUGCAACCUCAUGGUUCCUAGUCUGAUUCAUUUCCAAAGAGCUACGAUAGGAACUCCAGCAUAUUUUUAUCUAUUAUUUAUUAUUAUUUUGUCUUUGCUAGGGCGGUACCCGUGGCAUAUGCAGGUUCCCAGGCUAGGGGUCUAAUCGAAGCUGUUGCCUACGCCAGAGCCACAGCAACGCCAGAUCUGAGUCGCGUCUGUGACCCACAUCAGAGCUCACAGCAAUGCCUUAACCCACUGAGAGAGGCCAGGGAUGAACACGGAACCUCAUGGUUCCUAGUCAGAUUCAUUAACCACUGCGUCACGACGGGAACUCCAGCAUAAUUUUUUUUUUAAUAUUAUUUAAGAGUUCCCCUUGUGGCUCAUCAGUUAAUGAACCCAACUAGUAUCUAUGAGGACGUGGGUUCGAUCCCUGGACUCACUCAAUGGGUUAAGGAUCUGGCAUUGCUGUGAGCCGUGGUGUAGGGUCACAGAUGUGGCUAGGAUCCUGCAUUACUGUGGCUGUGGUGUAGGCCAGCAGCUGCAGCUCUGAUUGGACCCCUAGCCUGGGAACCUCCAUAUGCCACGGGUGUGGCCCUAAAAAGACUAUAUAUACAUAUAUAUGUAUGUGUAUAUAUAUAUAUAUAUAUAUGUAUGAAUAUUUUUUUGAACACAGUACAAGAUGCAAAAGUUACAAAGUAAAAAAAAAGUUACAAAAUCAUCUAAUGAUAAGUAAUACACAUCCCAUUUCCCAAGCCAAUCCCUACCCCCUGUUCCGCGCAGCCUGUUUCAACGGUUCACACUGAUGCUUCAUAAGAAGGUACCACAAUUGAUCCCAAGCCCUAGAUUGUUUGCGAUUUUCCCUGCAAUAAAUAAUUGUAGGAGUUUCCUUUGUGGCUCACAGGUAACAAACUUGCCUAGUAUCCAUGAGGACACAAGUUGGAUCCCUGGCCUUACUCAGUGGUUUAAAGGAUCCAGUGUUGCAGUGAGCUGUGGUGUAAGUAGCAGAUGAGGCUCAGAUCUGGUGUUGCUGUGGCUGUGGUGUAGGCUGGCAGCUAUAGUUCCAAUUCGACCCCUAGCCUGGGAACUUCCAUAUGCCUCGAGUGCGGCCCUAAAAAGAUUAAAAAAAAAAAAGUUUCCUUUUAGGUUUAAGCCUAUGAGUUGAGAGGGACCUGAUUUCACUGCCAAACUUCAGGGGCCAGCUUCUGUCUCUGGGUCCACAAAUGGCUUUAUUUAUUUUUGCUUUUUAGGGGUGCAUUUUCAGCAUAUGGAGUUUCCCAGGCUAGGGGUCUAAUGUGAGCUACAGUUGCCGGGCUAUACCGCAGCCGCAGUAAUGCGGAAUCCAAGCUGAGUCUGUGACGUACACCACAGCUCACAGCAAUGCCAGAUCCUUGAUCCACUGAGUGAGGCCAGGGAUCAAACCUGCAACCUCAUGGUUCCUAGUUGGAUUUGUUUCCACUGUGCCACAAUGGGAACUCCCACACAUGGCUUUACAUAUCCCCUUACUACAGUGUCCUCAUGAUUUCUGUGCUUAUCUGUCCCUGCCAUCAGACUGUGAGCGUCCAGGGGACUGCGUCCUUGACUGACAGAUCUCCAUGUGGCUCCACUCAAUCCUGGUAGGGGAAUUGGUAAAUAAUAAGAGCACACACUUACCAAUGAGCUUCUCUGUGCCAGGAAUCGUGUUAGGCACACUAUGUGCACUGGCUGCACCUGAGGCUUGAGGAAGUUUCCAGGCCAGGUACAGAACCCCCAUCACUACAGCAACCCAAGUCACUGCAGUGACAACACCAGGUCCUUAACCCAGUGUGCCACAAGAGAACUCUGCUCCCCUCUUUUACAGGGGAGAAAAAUAGGCUCAGAGAAGCAAGGUAAUAAAACUUAAUGUUUGCUGAGCACGAACUCUAUGUGUCAGGCAGUGAUCUUGCUUCAUGAAUCCUCAUGAUAAGCCUAUGCAGUAUGUGCUCUUAUUCUCCCCUUUCUACAGAGCAAGAAGAGAGGUUAAAUUAGUUGCCGUAAAUCACACAGCUAAUUAGACAAGUCCAAUGUCAAAUUACUAGCCACUGUGCCAUGCAGCUUAUACUCAUUCAUUCAUUUAACAAGUUUGACGGAGCUGCUCUCUGACAUUAUGCUACACAUUUGGUAUAAAUCAGCAAACUGAUCAAAUUCUCUGCCCUGAACUUCCUCAAUUUGAUAAAGAGCAUUGAUAAAAAUACCUACAAGUUGGAGUUCCCAUCAUGGCGCAGCAGAAGUGAAUCCGACUAAGAACCAUGAGGUUUAUGGGUUCGAUCCCUUGUCUUGCUCAGCGGGUUAAGAAUCAGGUGUUGCUGUGAGCUGUGGUGUGGGUGGAAGAUGCAGCUUGGAUCUGGCGUUGCUGUGGCUCUGGUAUAGGCCGGCAGCAACAGCUCCGAUUGGACCCCUAGCCUGGGAACCUCCAGGUGCCGUGGGUGCAGCCCUAAAAAAGACAAGGAAAAAAAAAAAAACUACAAUUAGUAUUAUUUUUUUUUUCCCCAUGGCUGCCCCUGUGGCUUAUGGAAGUUCCCAGCAGCUGCUAGCCUACCCCAUAGCUACGGCAACACCAGAUCUGAGCUACAUCUGUGACUUAACAUCAUAGCUUGCAGCAAUGCCAGAUCCUUAACCAACUGAUCGAGGCCAGGGCUCAAACCGGAGUCCUCAUGGAUACUAGUCGGGUUCGUUAUUGUGGAGCCAUGACAGGAAUUCCCCUAGCAUCAUUCUUAGUUGUGAAAUAUUUACUGCUUUUCCCUUAAGAUUAGAAACAAAUUAAGGACUUCUACUCCCAUUACUUCUAAUCAAAAUUAUAUUGGAGAUCCUAGCUAGUGUACUAAGGCAGGAAAAUAAAUAAAGGGCACAGGAGUUCCCACUGAAGCUCAACAGCUUAUGAACCUGACUAGUACCAUGAGGAUGUAGGUUCAAUCCCUGGCCUUGCUCAGUGGGUUAAGGAUCUGGCGAAGUCAUGAGCUGUGGUGUAGGCCGGCAGCUGCAGCUCCUAUUUGACUGAGCCCUAGCCUGGAAACCUCCAUAUGCUGCAGGUGCAGCCCUAAAAAGACAAAAAGAAGAAAGGGCAUAAAUAUCUGAUGGAAGAAGUAAAACUGUCAAUAUUUGCACAUAAUAUGAUUGCUUAUAUAGAAAUUCUAAGGAAUUGAAAUAACCACUAAAACUAAUAAAUGAAUUUAAGCAAGCUGUGAUAAUUACUUUUUUUUUUUUUUUGUCUUUUGUCUUUUUGUUGUUGUUGUUGUUGCUAUUUCUUGGGCCGCUCCCUUGGCAUAUGGAGGUUCCCAGGCUAGGGGUUGAAUCGGAGCUGUAGCCACCGGCCUACGCCAGAGCCACAGCAACGCGGGAUCCGAGCCGCGUCUGCAACCUACACCACAGCUCACGGCAACGCCGGAUGGUUAACCCACUGAGCAAGGGCAGGGACCGAACCCGUAACCUCAUGGUUCCUAGUCGGAUUCGUUAACCACUGCGCCACGACGGGAACUCCUAAUUACAUUUUCUGAUGGAGUUCCCGUUGUGGUGCAGUGGAAGCAAAUCCGACUAGGAACCAUGAGGUUGUGGGCUCGAUCCCUGGCCUUGCUCAGGGCUUAAGGAUCUGGCAUUGCCAUGAGCUGUGGUGUAGGUCGCAGACGUGGCUGGGAUCUGGCGUUGCUGUGACUGUGGUGUAGGCUGGUAGCUGUAGCUCUGAUUGGACCCCUAGCCUGGGAACUCCAUGUGCUGUGGGUGCCGCCCCCCAAAAAAAAAUUUAUAUUUUCUGAGAUGUUCUAGCAUGAGUGGAGAUCUUAUGAAUCCAGAAAAGCGGCUCUCUGUUCACCAUAACCCCGACCAGAGCAGGAUAUUGAUAAUCUUGAUCCUCCAAUGUCACCCCAUUUAGCUUCUGGGUCCACAGGGAGCCAUAUCAGAUUUAUACAGGGAACAGACAAUGUUCAACUUACCUGUUAAGGAA
rnacentral:lncRNA from 1 species